GCGGCGCGCCUAAUGCAUGCAAGUCGAGCGACGCAUACCCAGUCCGUAAGGACAGGGUAUGACGGAGCGGCGAACGGGUGAGUAACACGUGAACAACCUGCCCCACAGACCGGGAUAGCCCAGGGAAACCUGGAUUAAUACCGGAUAUCCUCAUAGGACCGCAUGGUCUCUUGAGGAAAUGCCUUUGUGCUGUGGGAUGGGUUCGCGACUUAUCAGCUUGUUGGUGGGGUAACGGCCUACCAAGGCUUCGACGAGUAGCUGGUCUGAGAGGACGAUCAGCCACACUGGAACUGAGACACGGUCCAGACUCCUACGGGAGGCAGCAGCAGGGAAUCUUGUCCAAUGGGCGAAAGCCUGAGACAGCGACGCCGCGUGGGGGAUGAAGGCCUUCGGGUUGUAAACCCCUUUCAGGAGGGAAGAAAUUGACGGUACCUCCACAAGAAGGACCGGCCAACUACGUGCCAGCAGCCGCGGUAAU
rnacentral:rRNA from 1 species